CCUACGGGAGGCAGCAGUGAGGAAUAUUGGUCAAUGGGCGUAAGCCUGAACCAGCCAAGUCUCGUGAGGGAUGAAGGUUCUAUGGAUCGUAAACCUCUUUUAUAAGGGAAUAAAGUGCGGGACGUGUCCCGUUUUGUAUGUACCUUAUGAAUAAGGAUCGGCUAACUCCGUGCCAGCAGCCGCGGUAAUACGGAGGAUCCGAGCGUUAUCCGGAUUUAUUGGGUUUAAAGGGUGCGUAGGCGGCCUUUUAAGUCAGCGGUGAAAGUUUGUGGCUCAACCAUAGAAUUGCAGUUGAAACUGGGAGGCUUGAGUACGUGUGAGGCAGGCGGAAUGCGUGGUGUAGCGGUGAAAUGCUUAGAUAUCACGCAGAACCCCGAUUGCGAAGGCAGCCUGCUAAGCCAUGACUGACGCUGAUGCACGAAAGCGUGGGGAUCAAACAGGAUUAGAUACCCCAGUAGUC
rnacentral:rRNA from 1 species